rnacentral:lncRNA from 1 species
CCGCAUUCUGGGUCUCAAUAGCUGCCUGGGACUUUCAGGGUGGAGUUGGGAAAUGAUUUCGUCUUCUGAGAAAGCAGUCUCUAGCCUCCUCGUGCAUGACUCUCAAGGUCUGUGGCUCAACGGAGAGAAUACAACGAUUUCAUAGAAUGAAUCCAUGAUCUAUCUAAUGACUUAGGAAGGUUGAGCAGGUUUCAUUACCUUGGUGUGAACAGAGCAGCUCCAGACAGAUCCUCCAUGCAGAUUUCAGUUGCCGACAGACACUUUUCCAGUCAGGGAGGACCAGUCAUGCUAUACAGCACAGUUCACAGAAGGAGGCCUGCUAGCUACAUUCGGACCAAGGGAGACUCAGAAUCCAGAAUCAGUCCACGAGGCUGGAUGUCUCAUAACCACAGUGUGAUGCUGAAGGUCUGGAGGAUGCAGCCCACGUUGGAAGCCGGAGGAAGCCUGAUCUAAUCACGGAAGGAAUGUAGCAAUAGCAGCAUCAAGGUUAUUUCAUCGCGGCAGCAGAAAUGAAACUAAUACAGUGAGGCAAAGGGAGAAGACCAGACACAGCAAAGGACCAAUCUGUGAAAAACCAAACCCUCAAAAAACAAAACAAGAGUGUUUGGUGUGGUUGGAACAAAACUUCAAUCCCAACACUCCGGGAGGCGGAGGCAACGAGAGUUCUGACGAGGAUAAUAGAACACCUUCAAUCCUCACAACACGUUGUCUGCACUCUCCCGUGGAGGAAUCAGAGACAGCGAUGUGAGUAAGUUGCCUGCAGUCUAGUGAGUGCACAGCCUCAGGAAGAAUGUCCUCAGAAAGCA